CAUCUCCUAUGACAAUAGCUACAACUAUGCUACAGGGCCCAGAACACGCUGCUGUUGUUCAUUUCAUUGGCAGAAUAAAAUUGAAAGCAGUUUAGUCCUAGAUCCACAAAGGGUUUCAUAAAGGCUGAAGUAUUUCUGUCAAAACUAAGAAGAAGGUGGAUAAGUGCAAUGAAGAGAGAUGGGCCAUGAAGGGAGAUUACACCAGCUUUUAGUUUGGUUGCCAAGUUGUCAAUAAAGUCAACAUUGUGAAGAAAUGAAGUUUAAAGUCUGUACAAUGAAGACAAAAUUUCUUGAGAAAUGACAUGUACUACGGUAUUGGAAACUUUAUCUUCCUGUCAAAGCUGAUGCAGUAAAGUCAACUGAACAAGAUAAUAACAUAUCUCUUGUAAAGGUGGAAGAUCUCUACAGUGAAUGGGAACAGAAGAUGGCAUAGGCUCUCAGAAAAAAUUAAAACAAGGAAUAUGUCUGUUCAUAAAUUUGAUGACGUGGAAUUCGAACUACACAUAAUGUUGUGAUAGAUGAACACCUUGAAGAACAUUUUAUUUGCUUAUUUGAAAGAAACAUUUUGGAAGUAGAUUUUAUAUCCUUCUCUAUAAUCUCUCUGUCUAUCUAUACCUACAUAUUUAUAUUUAAUUCUUUGCAUCUGUAUAGGG